GAUGAAGAACGUAGUGAAAUGCGAUACUUGGUGUGAAUUGCAGAAUCCCGUGAACCAUCGAGUCUUUGAACGCAAGUUGCGCCCGAAGCCAUUAGGCCGAGGGCACGCCUGCCUGGGCGUCACACGUCGUUGCCCCCCCAUCUACUCCUUCGGGAUUGCGGGGGGCGGAUGAUGGCCUCCCGUGCGCCUCGUCGCGCGGUUGGCAUAAAUACCAAGUCCUCGGCGACGCACGCCACGACAAUCAGUGGUUGCGAAACCUCGGUUGCCCGUCGUGUGCGGUCGUCGCGCAUCGAGGGCUCGAAAAAAUUGCCGGGCUCCGGCUCGGCUUUCAACGCGACCCCAGGUCAGGCGGGGUUACCCGCUGAAUUUAAGCAUAUCAAUAAGCGGAGGA
rnacentral:misc_RNA from 1 species